AGCCCCCCUCAAGAUGAGAUUUCCCAUUCCGCAAGGAAGUAAGAUCCCUGAAAGAUGAUCAGGUUGAUAGGUCUGAGGUGGAAGUGUGGCGACACAUGGAGCUGACAGAUACUAAUCGAUCGAGGACUUAACCUA
rnacentral:rRNA from 1 species